UCAAGUGAGUUUAUUUCUUAUACUGCAUAUUUUGAGGUUAUCAUAAAAUCAAUUUCAUUCAGCCAACGUCUGUUGCUUGUUGGAAUUGGCUAAUUGUUUUCAUUUUCAUUGAGAAGGAAGGUUGUCAAACUUUUGACUUCUGGAGGGAACAUGCUGGAGUUGUGUCAUGAGCUACGCUUACCCUUUGUUAAUUGGGUUAUAACAAACCAGGAAGACUUUGACAGGGAACAGAAAUUUGGGGGUGAAGCAACCAGUAGUAUGGUGCCUGAUAGUGUAAACAUCCACCUCUAACACUCAUGGUUUCUUUCUUCUGCAAGAUAUUCUAAUUGACAAAAAUAGAUGCAUGAACAUGGAUCUAUCUGAUGUAUAAUGUUUUCUAUCAGAGUUUUGGUCACUUGAUGGAUGCUUGGUUUCAUGUUGUUAUUCCUAAUAUGCUACCUAACUUGACAUGCCUAAUUAAUGCAGAAUUUCCAACA